UACAGAGGGUGCAAGCGUUAAUCGGAAUUACUGGGCGUAAAGCGCGCGUAGGUGGCUUCGUAAGUCCGUUGUGAAAGUCAAAGGCUCAACCUUUGAAUGCCGAUGGAUACUGCGGAGCUAGAGUACGGAAGAGGCGAGUGGAAUUCCUGGUGUAGCGGUGGAAUGCGCAGAUAUCAGGAGGAACACCAAUAGCGAAGGCAGCUCGCUGGGACGUUACUGACACUAAGGCGCGAAAGCGUGGGGAGCGAACAGG
rnacentral:rRNA from 1 species